rnacentral:rRNA from 1 species
AACGAACGCUGGCGGCAGGCCUAACACAUGCAAGUCGAGCGAGGACUUCGGUUCUAGCGGCGGACGGGUGAGUAACGCGUGGGAAUGUGCCCUUCUCUACGGAAUAGCCCUGGGAAACUGGGAGUAAUACCGUAUACGCCCUAUUGGGGAAAGAUUUAUCGGAGAAGGAUCAGCCCGCGUUGGAUUAGGUAGUUGGUGGGGUAAUGGCCUACCAAGCCGACGAUCCAUAGCUGGUUUGAGAGGAUGAUCAGCCACACUGGGACUGAGACACGGCCCAGACUCAGACGGGAGGCAGCAGUGGGGAAUCUUAGACAAUGGGUGAAAGUCUGAUCCAGCCAUGCCGCGUGAGUGAAGACGGCCUAAGGGUUGUAAAGCCCUUUCAGCUGGGAAGAUAAUGACGGUACCAGCAGAAGAAGCCCAGGCUAACUCCGUG